rnacentral:rRNA from 1 species
UGCAGUCGAACGCUUCUUUUUCCACCGGAGCUUGCUCCACCGGAAAAAGAAGAGUGGCGAACGGGUGAGUAACACGUGGGUAACCUGCCCAUCAGAAGGGGAUAACACUUGGAAACAGGUGCUAAUACCGUAUAACAAUCAAAACCGCAUGGUUUUGAUUUGAAAGGCGCUUUCGGGUGUCGCUGAUGGAUGGACCCGCGGUGCAUUAGCUAGUUGGUGAGGUAACGGCUCACCAAGGCCACGAUGCAUAGCCGACCUGAGAGGGUGAUCGGCCACAUUGGGACUGAGACACGGCCCAAACUCCUACGGGAGGCAGCAGUAGGGAAUCUUCGGCAAUGGACGAAAGUCUGACCGAGCAACGCCGCGUGAGUGAAGAAGGUUUUCGGAUCGUAAAACUCUGUUGUUAGAGAAGAACAAGGAUGAGAGUAACUGUUCAUCCCUUGACGGUAUCUAACCAGAAAGCCACGGCUAACUACGUGCCAGCAGCCGCGGUAAUACGUAGGUGGCAAGCGUUGUCCGGAUUUAUUGGGCGUAAAGCGAGCGCAGGCGGUUUCUUAAGUCUGAUGUGAAAGCCCCCGGCUCAACCGGGGAGGGUCAUUGGAAACUGGGAGACUUGAGUGCAGAAGAGGAGAGUGGAAUUCCAUGUGUAGCGGUGAAAUGCGUAGAUAUAUGGAGGAACACCAGUGGCGAAGGCGGCUCUCUGGUCUGUAACUGACGCUGAGGCUCGAAAGCGUGGGGAGCAAACAGGAUUAGAUACCCUGGUAGUCCACGCCGUAAACGAUGAGUGCUAAGUGUUGGGAGGGUUUCCGCCCUUCAGUGCUGCAGCUAACGCAUUAAGCACUCCGCCUGGGGAGUACGACCGCAAGGU